rnacentral:lncRNA from 1 species
UGUCCCUGUUCUUAUCCCAGUCCAUGAGGUUUUCCAUCACAUUUUCUCUCCCUGUCCUGCUGAGUAGAGGGAGUGAGUGAGCAGUUUGGUGGGUGCCUGACAAUGAGCAAAAGUUAGCCCACUACACAUGCCAAGACAACUUUUUCUUUUUGGUGCCUUUCAGCUGCCCACCUAGUGCAGCUGCCUCUGGUGCCAUAUUCUUCUGCCUCUGUCCUUGUUGCAUCAAUAGAUUUGCUUUAGACAACUACAUUUGGAACUAGCCAUUAAAGCUAACAUAACCUUUUUUUCCAGAUCUAAUGUCUCUGCAGAUUCCUCCCGAGUUCUCCAUCCAAACCUGUCCCAGAACAAAGAACCUUUGGCCACUAGAGACCUUGGCCAGAGAUAAGAAGAUUAAGGAUAGGGAAUGUGUAAAUUUCCUCCAGCGUUUUACCAUUAAGUGUGAACAAUGUUGGCAACUCCUGGGUAAGACGUAAGUCUAAGAAUGGAUAUUAUAUUUUCAUUUAGUAUCACUUUCUAAUUGUAACAAAACAUUAUCCAGUCAUAUGAGCUGUUGCUUUAGAAUGUUGGAAUAAUGUAGUAGCUGUGUAGCCUACCUUCAUUUCAUAUUUUCCAUAGUAAAAAAUUUGAGGACUUUAAAUACAAUUCAAGAUUGUGCCUCUCAGCAUGAAUUACCCAAAAGAGGCAAUUAAGCACUUAGCUAUUUGAAAGUUGGUUUUGCUUGUUCGUUUUUCCUGGGAAAUCUGCUGGUUUUGAGCCACUUCCUUUGGAACGCAGUCUUCCUAGCAUCUCCUUCAAAGAUAAAGCAAGAAGUCCAUAGCUUAAGCAUUCAUCCUUGCAUCAUCCUUACUGCUUACUAAUUUGGUAAGCAGUGUUAGCAAGCAGGCAUGGAAUCAAAGCACUAAGUGGAAAACUCUGCCACAUCUGAGCUGUGUCUUGCAUUUAGAUAUUUAUAAAAGCAUGUCUUUGAUAUUCCCUGUUUGGCAUAGCUCAUAAUUUACCACCUUCACUAGAGCAAGAAGAUAAAUGCUUUCUGUAAAAAAGCUCUGCAUAAAUAACACUUUACUAAAGCACCUAUGUUUGUUGGCAGAGACUUCUGAGACAGGCAGACCACAGUUGGAGCAGCAAAGUUUCCAGAAGACCGUAGGACAGAUGAUCUCAAAUGGAUAGCAGGGAAAAUAAUCCAGCAUUCUGUAUUGUAUCCAUG